rnacentral:rRNA from 1 species
GUGAACGCUGGCGGCAGGCCUAACACAUGCAAGUCGAACGAGCGAGAGAGAGCUUGCUUUCUCGAGCGAGUGGCGAACGGGUGAGUAACGCGUGAGGAACCUGCCUCAAAGAGGGGGACAACAGUUGGAAACGUCUGCUAAUACCGCAUAAGCCCACGGCUCGGCAUCGAGCAGAGGGAAAAGGAGCAAUCCGCUUUGAGAUGGCCUCGCGUCCGAUUAGCUAGUUGGUGAGGUAACGGCCCACCAAGGCGACGAUCGGUAGCCGGACUGAGAGGUUGAACGGCCACAUUGGGACUGAGACACGGCCCAGACUCCUACGGGAGGCAGCAGUGGGGAAUAUUGCACAAUGGGGGAAACCCUGAUGCAGCGACGCCGCGUGGAGGAAGAAGGUCUUCGGAUUGUAAACUCCUGUUGUUGAGGAAGAUAAUGACGGUACUCAACAAGGAAGUGACGGCUAACUACGUGCCAGCAGCCGCCGUAA